CAAAGAGGAGGGCGUGCUGCACCUAGCUCUGCUCAUUGGUUCUUCAGGGAGCUGUGUUUUCUACUGCUCCUCCUGGAAGGCAGCUCUGCGUCCAGUGCCUGAGCUCAUGAGCCAGGUUCAGGCACUGCAGCAUGGAGUCUGAGGACAGCGUAUGAUCGUCACUUACGCAGCAGGGGUGGAUGGUGUCUGUUUUCCACAUGGGGCUCUCCUAUGGAGGUUUGUUUCUGUGCAUGUCCUGAACAGGGAAGACACCAGCCAACGAGGUGCCUGAGAGGGAGCAUUCAAUUCCCCAGACAUCUCUGCAAAGCAAUUCGGCCCCAACCUCCCCUGGCUGUUGAGGUCCUAGUCUUAGUUUUCCAAGCCAGCUAGCAAGAAAGGAGGAAUAUAAUGCAACAAUACUACCUUGCAAGGCACGUCGUACGGUG
ensembl:lncRNA